rnacentral:rRNA from 1 species
AUUGAACGCUGGCGGCAGGCCUAACACAUGCAAGUCGAGCGGAGCGGCGGACGGGUGAGUAAUGCCUAGGAAUCUGCCUGGUAGUGGGGGAUAACGUCCGGAAACGGGCGCUAAUACAGCAUACUAUCAGAUGAGGCUAGGUCGGAUGAGCUAGUGGGUGGGGUAAAGGCCUACCAAGGCGACGAGCCGUAACUGGUCUGAGAGGAUGAUCAGUCAAACUGCAACUGAGACACGGGCCAGACUCCUACGGGAGGCAGCAGUGGGGAAUAGUGGACAAUGGGCGAAAGCCUGAUCCAGCCAUGCGGCGUGUGUGAAGAAGGUUUUCGGAUUGUAAAGCACUUUAAGUUGUGAGGCGUUACCAACAGAAUAAGCACCGGCUAACUACGUGCCAGCAGCCGCGGUAAUUC